AUUGAACGCUGGCGGCAUGCCUUACACAUGCAAGUCGAACGGUAACAGGUCUUCGGAUGCUGACGAGUGGCGAACGGGUGAGUAAUACAUCGGAACGUGCCUAGUCGUGGGGGAUAACUACUCGAAAGAGUGGCCAAUACCGCAUGAGAUCUACGGAUGAAAUCAGGGGAUCGCAAGACCUUGUGCUACUAGAGCGGCCGAUGGCAGAUUAGGUAGUUGGUGGGAUAAAAGCUUACCAAGCCGACGAUCUGUAGCUGGUCUGAGAGGACGAUCAGCCACACUGGGACUGAGACACGGCCCAGACUCCUACGGGAGGCAGCAGUGGGGAAUUUUGGACAAUGGGCGCAAGCCUGAUCCAGCAAUGCCGCGUGCAGGAUGAAGGCCUUCGGGUUGUAAACUGCUUUUGUACGGAACGAAAAGCCCCGGGUUAAUACCCUGGGGUCAUGACGGUACCGUAAGAAUAAGCACCGGCUAACUACGUGCCAGCCGCCGCAGUAA
rnacentral:rRNA from 1 species